rnacentral:misc_RNA from 1 species
GAAAUGCGAUAAGUAAUGUGAAUUGCAGAAUUCAGUGAAUCAUCGAAUCUUUGAACGCACAUUGCGCCCGUCAGCAUUCUGGCGGGCAUGCCUGUUCGAGCGUCAUUUCAACCCUCAGGACCCCCCUUUCGCGGGGAGGGACCUGGCGUUUGGGAUCGGCCCGCCCCCCGUGGCGGCGCCGUCCCCGAAAUCUAGUGGCGGUCUCGCUGCAGCCUCCCCUGCGUAGUAGUUACAACCUCGCAUCGGAGCGCGGCGCGGCCACGCCGUAAAACCCCCGACUUUCUGAACGUUGCCCUCGGAUCAGGUAGGAAUACCCGCUGAACUUAAGC